rnacentral:rRNA from 1 species
AUUCGGGGAGGUAGUGACAAGAAAUAAUAACUCGGGUAGUUCUACUAUUACGGGAUUAAAAUGAGAACAAUUUAAAAAUCUUAGCGAGGAUCAAAAUGAGGGCAAGUCUGGUGCCAGCAGCCGCGGUAAUUCCAGCUCAUUUAGUGUAUAUUAAAGUUGUUGCAAUUAAAAAGCUCGUAGUCGAUCAUCUAGUGCUGGCUGCUUCGGCUUCGGCUGCGGUACGCGAGUGCUAUCUGCUCGAGAACUUUAUCGGUCUUAACUGGUCGAUGAUGCUGAUCGGGCACUUUCCUGAGAAAAAAUUAGAGUGUUCAAAGCAGGCUAAUGCCUUGAAUAUUACAGCUUGGAAUAAUAGAAUAAGACUGAAGUCUCUUUUGUUGGUUAUGAACUUUAGUAAUGGUUAAUAGGAACAGUCGGGGGUAUUAGUAUUUAAUUGUCAGAGGUGAAAUUCUAUGAUUUAUUAAAGACUAACUUAUGCGAAAGCAUUUGCCAAGGAUGUUUUCAAUUGAUCAAGAACGAAAGUUAGGGGAUCAAAGACGAUCAGAUACCGUCCUAGUCUUAACUAUAAACGAUUCCGACUAUGGAUCAGAAGGGUUUUCCAAUCCCUUUUGGCACAUUAUGAGAAAUCAAAGUCUUUGGGUUCUGGGGGAAGUAUGGACACAAGUCUGAAACUUAAAGGAAUUGACGGAAGGGCACACCAGGUGUGGAGCCUGCGGCUUAAUUUGACCCAACACGGGGAAACUUACUAGGGCAAGACUAAGGUUGGAUUGACAGAUUGAGAGCUCUUUCUUGAUUCUUAGGGUGGUGGUGCAUGGCCGUUCUUAGUUGGUGGAGUGAUUUGUCUGGUUAAUUCCGUUAACGAACGAGACCUCAACCUGCUAAACUAGGAGCCGGAUUAAACAUUCGGUUUCCUUCUUAGAGGGACAAAGUGUUCAAGCACUGGGAAGUGAGGCAAUAACAGGUCUGUGAUGCCCCUAGACGUCCUAGGCCGCACGCGCGCUACAAUGACACGUUCAACGAGUUUCUUCCUGGUCCUGACGGAUUCGGGUAAUCUUCAUAGUACGUGUCGUGCUUUGGGAUAGUCCUUUGCAAUUAUAGGACUUAAACUAGGAAUACCUAGUAUAGGUAAGUCAUCAGCUUGCCUAGAUUAUGUCCCUGCCCUUUGUACACACCGCCCGUCGCUCCUACCGAUUUUGAGUGAUUAGGUGAACCUUCUGGAUCAGAGUAGUCUUCAAGGCUGUUCUGAGAAGUUAAGUAAAUCAUUAUCACUUAGAGGAAGGAGAAGUCGUAACAAGGUUUCCGUAGGUGAACCUGCGGAAG